UAGAACCUCCAGUUUCUAAAUAUAUCCCACUUCCAUCUAGCUCCAACAGAUAACUAAAAUCCCAGUUACCCGGAGAUUGCUGAGCUAGUUUUAAGGUAGCACAAGCUGCUCAGGAUUGUCAUCUAACAGCACGAGGAUGAGUGCAGGGGAUACAGGGAUGAGGGAAUCUCAAACUCUACAACUGCUUCAGGACAGAAUUAUCUUCCCUUCAAGAAGAGACAAGAGUUCAAAGAUGGAGCUAUGAGACAGUGAAAAGAGGACCAGAAAGAAAGAAGCAGCAGUGUGGAGACAAUGGAAAGAACACACCUGCGGAAGACAGGCGAUCCUAAUUCAAAUCUUCCCUCUUAUGUUGAUCAUCAGGCUCAUCUUGAGAGAAUCACUUAAUCACGAUCAGUAUCAGGCUUGUCAACUGUAAAAGGAGGGGAUUAGGCUUGACUUCUGGGAUUUUUACCAGCUCUUAACUCAGAACUGAUUUGCAGUUCCAGAGAAAAGUUCUGCCAAUAAAGGAGAUGAGCAAGA